CCCUUAGAUGUUCUGGGCCGCACGCGCGCUACACUGAUGCAUUCAACGAGUGUACCUUGGCCGAGAGGCCUGGGCAAUCUUUUGAACGUGCAUCGUGAUAGGGAUAGAUUAUUGCAAUUAUUAAUCUUGAACGAGGAAUUCCUAGUAAACGCAGUUCAUCAAACUGCAUUGAUUACGUCCCUGCCCUUUGUACACACCGCCCGUCACACCUACCGAUUGGAUGGUCCGGUGAAGCCUCGGGAUUGUGGCGGUUGCCUUUAUUGGUGGCCGCCGCGAGAACUUGUCUAAACCUUAUCAUCUAGAGGAAGGUGAAGUCGUAACA
rnacentral:rRNA from 1 species